GGGGUAUACUACACUUGUUCUUUCUGAUAGAGCAUUCUCAACCAAGCGUGUUGCUGUGAGCUCGCUUCUGGCUGUUGGUGCUGUCCAUCAGCAUCUAGUUAAAAAUCUAGAACGCACUCAAGUUGGUUUGAUAGUGGAAUCUGCAGAACCCCGCGAAGUCCACCAUUUUUGUACACUUGUGGGGUUUGGUGCUGAUGCUAUAUGCCCUUACCUGGCUAUUGAAGCGAUCUGGAGAUUACAAGUUGAUGGAAAAAUUCCGGCAAAAUCAAGUGGGGAAUUCCACACCAAGGAGGAAUUGGUCAAAAAGUACUUCAAGGCAAGCAACUACGGGAUGAUGAAAGUUCUUGCGAAGAUGGGAAUAUCAACUUUG
rnacentral:misc_RNA from 1 species